rnacentral:lncRNA from 1 species
UGGAAAUCAGUAUGGAGUUUCCUUAAAAAACUACAAAUAGAGCUCCCAUUUGAUCCAGUUACCUCAUUCCAUGGUAUAAACCCAAAGCAAUUAAAGCCAGAACACUAUAAAUAUAUCUGCAUACCCAUUUUAUUCAACAGAGCCAAGAUAUGGAACCAGCCUAGAUUCCCAUCAACAGAUGAAUGUAUAAAGAUAAUAUGGUAUAUAUAUACAAUACAGCAUUAUUUAACCAUACGGAAGAAUGAAAUUCUGUCAUUUACAGAAAAACACAUGGAUCAUCUGGUGGUGACCAUCAUGUUGAGCAACAUAAUCCAGAUUCAUAAAGAAAUAUAUUGAACUUGGUUCUUCUGUUUCCAUGGUGAGGGGUGAAGGAGUAUGAGAUGAACUGUUAUCCCUGCUCAUCCUAACUUUCCUGCCAUUUUUGCGUGAGGACUAGAUCCAGGUAUUGCAAUAGAUGCUUUGUAACCAGAUGAUUUGUCACUCUGUUUGAUUCUGGAUGACUAUCCAUACAGGGCAGAGGAAUUUCUCAUUUAAUAGAUAACAAACCCAAGGCCCAAUAAAGCAAGUGAGUGGCCCAAAGUCACACCGCUAGGAAGUGGCACUGGAGAGGCUCAGCCUGUGGUUUUGUGCUCAUGGCAUCUGGUAGCCUUGUCUUCAUAACUAGAUGACUUAGAUAACAGAAAUUCAUUGCUCAAUCAAUUCUGGAACUGGAAGUCUAAAAUCUGUGUUGGUAGGCUUGACUCCUUCUGGGGCAGUGAAGGAAGGUGUGUGUAGGACCCUCUCCUGGGUCGUCCUUGUGCUAGUUUGCUGACAAUCAUCACUGCUCAUGGCCUGCAGAUGCAUCACCCUGGUCUCUGCUCCCAUGUUCACACAGCAGGCUCCCUUCGUGUCUGUCUGCCUCUGUGUGCCAGCGUCCUAUUUUUACAUGGACACAGUCAUAUCAGAUUAAUGCUCACUCUAAUAACUCACCUUAACCCGAUCACUGUCGAAGAGCCUCUUUCCAAAUAAGCUCCAAUUCACAGACCCAGGGAAUAAGGACUUAAACAUUUUUAGGGAGAUGUAUUUCAACUUAUCUCACUGUCAGAGCUCCAGUCCUUACCUUAAUGUCAAGAGAAAGACCAUGGUUUGCAGAUGUGUAUUGGCUUGCCCCAUUAAUCCUAGACUUCGAGAUUAAUACCAGUACCCAAGCCCUGGGCAGAGGGAUUUAAAAAAAACAACUUGUGUUUCCUCUUUCUGCCUUUUCACUCUGUUUCUUAUCACUCCAUCCAGACAGCUGUCAGCUUCCUCAGAUCCUGGAAGAAGGAAGUUGUCAAAUCCCCCUGAUCUGUUGCUGCCCUGCCUCUGCUUUGUGACCCACAUCCUGCCUGGGCUCCGCCGGCUGCAGAGAUCUCCAGCUCCCACUGGCCUAGUCCUGGAGCAGGGUGUGGGCUUCAGGGCAUUAAUGGGUUUUCCUAGGGAAAAAGCAGCAUCUGGGAACAGCCCAGAAGUCACCUAACCCUGCUGCUGCCACUUGACUUGCUUCUCUCUCACUAUUCUGGAGGAAGGCUUAUCAACAGAAAUAAACCCUACCAUGUUUUCUAUAAAGGCUGCCAGCCAGGCCCUCUUCGAAG